UAUUUCCUCCCCUUAUAGUUGUUCUUGUUUCUUGGACAUUUUUGGAGAUCGUCAUGCAAACCCUUUCAUCUCUUGUUCAUGUUGACUCAUUUUCAUGUAGGUUGUAGCUUCUUUUGUUUGAAGGCUAAGGUUCCCUCAAAUAUUAAGGCUCAUGUUUGGUCAGAGGGUCUUACUAGUACUAAUGGUUUGUUAUUACAGGUACAAGAAUUGUAGACAAGCUAGUGUGUUGCAUUUUCACUAGAUUUUUACACGUCAUGUGGCAUGGAGGCUUUAGGCUUUUGCCAUUGGUAUUUUCCAGGAGGCUUGGGUUGACCCUCCUACUUCGACAGUAUGUAAUUUCAACUUCAGGGCUGUGGGGGUAAUUUAGACACUAG
rnacentral:lncRNA from 1 species